CUAUCAGCUCCAACAGUGUCCUUAACUGGUUUUCAAGAUCCUAAAGGAGUGACCUCUAGAUGGUAUAUGCCGGUGUCGCCGCGAUAUUCAUUAGCAAAACCAUGUGCUCAGACGGAAUGGUGCCGUUACAUACCUCACCCUUGCGCCACUAAUUCCAAAGAUUGUAUCUCCCUUCCACUCGCAUGCAACCAUAUGCUGACAACAUCCCACGAAAAUACCCAACACUGACUCAAAACACCGCUAUGCUACCCCAAAGUAGAGUGCUGUAACACUGGUUUGUUUGUUUGUUCGUGUUUGGGACGACAAGGGAAAAGAAGACGAAAUACCAAUGCUAUGUGAUCCAGACAGAACGACGCCAUGCUUCCUCUCCGAAGGAAAUACGCAUCAUGCAACCAAGAAAAACCCUAAAUUACGCCAAACUCUAGUUUUAAAUACCUCGUUGGAAGCCUAAUCAGACAUUUUCACAAUAACUUGUAUUAAAAUUACAUUUCUAAACGAGUGUGAAAAAGCAUAGCUGCAAUAAAGAUAAGAAAGAGGUGUUUAA